AUUGAACGCUGGCGGAAUGCUUUACACAUGCAAGUCGAGCGGCAGCACGGGGGCAACCCUGGUGGCGAGCGGCGAACGGGUGAGUAAUACAUCGGAACAUGCCCAGUUGUGGGGGAUAACACUUCGAAAGAAGUGCUAAUACCGCAUACGUCCUGAGGGAGAAAGCGGGGGAUCUUCGGACCUCGCGCGAUUGGAGUGGCCGAUGUCAGAUUAGCUAGUUGGUGGGGUAAAGGCCUACCAAGGCAACGAUCUGUAGCUGGUCUGAGAGGAUGAUCAGCCACACUGGGACUGAGACACGGCCCAGACUCCUACGGGAGGCAGCAGUGGGGAAUUUUGGACAAUGGGGGCAACCCUGAUCCAGCCAUUCCGCGUGAGUGAAGAAGGCCUUCGGGUUGUAAAGCUCUUUCGGCAGGAACGAAACGGCGAGCUCUAACAUAGCUUGCUAAUGACGGUACCUGAAGAAGAAGCACCGGCUAGCUACGUGCCAGCCGCCGCCGUAAGAC
rnacentral:rRNA from 1 species